AGCGGCGCUUGAACAUGACGUUAUUGUGUUAUAAAAGGCGCGCUCUUUUAUCGUCACAUCCUCUUUCCGUUGCUCUUCUCGCUUUGAGAAACCUCUCCCCACGAUGAGAGCCAAGUGGAGGAAGAAGCGUAUGCGCAGGCUGAAGCGUAAAAGGAGAAAGAUGAGGCAGAGGUCAAAGUAAGCCUCAUCCCUGCCAGCUGCCUUUCCCGUCUGAGCCUCUCCAAGAUGACCGACACAUGUUUCUGAAGUGGAUUGCUGUGAGCUUCCCUCAGCCAGGCCUAAACCCUGAUUUCAAAUAGCCGACUAGAUGGGCCCACUGUGGACGUCUGACCUGAAGAUGGUGAAGACGCUGGACAACAUCAGAACUGCAGCUGCUGUGUUCAUGGACCAUAAAACAUCUUGUCUUCUUACAACUGUGUUCAUGGACCAUAAAACAUCUUGUCUUCUUACAACUGUCAUGUGGUGUAUUGAACAAUAAACACUGUUGAAAUACCACAA